AACGAACGCUGGCGGCAGGCUUAACACAUGCAAGUCGAGCGCCCCGCAAGGGGAGCGGCAGACGGGUGAGUAACGCGUGGGAAUCUACCCAUCUCUACGGAAUAACGCAUGGAAACGUGUGCUAAUACCGUAUACGUCCUUCGGGAGAAAGAUUUAUCGGAUUUGGAUGAGCCCGCGUUGGAUUAGCUAGUUGGUGGGGUAAUGGCCUACCAAGGCGACGAUCCAUAGCUGGUCUGAGAGGAUGAUCAGCCACACUGGGACUGAGACACGGCCCAGACUCCUACGGGAGGCAGCAGUGGGGAAUAUUGGACAAUGGGCGAAAGCCUGAUCCAGCCAUGCCGCGUGAGUGAUGAAGGCCUUAGGGUUGUAAAGCUCUUUCAGUAGGGAAGAUAAUGACGGUACCUACAGAAGAAGCCCCGGCUAACUUCGUGCCAGCAGCCGCGGUAACAC
rnacentral:rRNA from 1 species